GUCCACGCCCUAAACGAUGUCGACUAGUUGUUCGGGAAGGUGACUUCUUGAGUAACGUAGCUAACGCGUGAAGUCGACCGCCUGGGGAGUACGGCCGCAAGGUUAAAACUCAAAGGAAUUGACGGGACCCGCACAAGCGGUGGAUGAUGUGGAUUAAUUCGAUGCAACGCGAAAACCUUACCUACCCUUGACAUGUCUGGAAGUCUGCAGAGAUGCGGAUGUGCCUUCGGGAACCAGAACACAGGUGCUGCAUGGCUGUCGU
rnacentral:rRNA from 1 species